ACCCGGCGCAGGUGCAGACCGAGCUGCAGAAGAUGACGGGCAACAUAACGUUCCACCUGCCCGGCAACGACUCGUUCUGGGUAAGCGCGCGCAAAGCAACAGCCGUGCCUGCUGCCGGCAGAUUUACCUCAAGCUGGACGUGCGGCACAACAACCAGUGGAAGGAGAACGCCUUCGUCUUCAACAUCCCGGGCGGCGGCUGCACCGCCAUGCGCACGUACGCCACGGAGGCCUACCAGACCGUCUUCAAGCGCGACCCCAAUCUGACGGAGACCUGCAUCUUCCCGAAGGGGAUCCACCAGAUAAACGACAUGCCACUCAACUUCUCCUUCCCCAAGAUGGCCGUCAUACAGUACAGACACUGGCGAGUGCAGUUCACAGGCGGAAUACGGAGAAGAACCACGCUCUGUAUGAUGGCAGAGGCAAAGACUCUGCCAAAGCUGUAGGGCAGUGGUACAGGCAGUUGGAAAAUGAAGGGUACUUAAUUACAGGCAUUUGGCGUUUAGUUCCGCACCAACCAAUAUCUUUGCCAGAGUAUCAAAAGUCUCUCUUCGACCCCUUACAGCCGAAUGCCUGGUGAAUAAAAUAGAUGAAGGUAGAGUGCUAAUAUGGAAAAUGCGAAUUGAAGUGAGCAAGCUAUCUGCUUGUAAUGGUAUUAAUUGGUAUAGAAAACUAGAAAAAAGUUACGAAACAAAUUAGUUUUUUCAUAAAAGAACAUACAAAAAGGAAACAAGUACUAUAGUAUUCUUAACUAUCACAAAUACUACCAAAUUACCAUGAGAGUGAACUAUUCCUUGAAUUCACAAUCCAUAA